rnacentral:rRNA from 1 species
CGAACGUGGGUAACCUGCCCAUCAGAGGGGGAUAACAUUCGGAAACGGAUGCUAAAACCGCAUAGGUCCUUUAACCGCAUGGUUGAAGGAGGAAAAGAGGCGCAAGCUUCUGCUGAUGGAUGGACCCGCGGUGCAUUAGCUAGUUGGUGAGGUAACGGCUCAUCAAGGCCGUGAUGCAUAGCCGACCUGAGAGGGUGAUCGGCCACAUUGGGACUGAGACACGGCCCAA